CUCUGUGGUUGUGCCCUUUUUUCCUAGACCCACUGCAUGACUGGCGGCUUCCUGCAUUCAGUAACAGUGUUGCGGAUUGAAGCAAGGAAAUAAGAGUGAGGAGGGAACUGGUUUGAGAGCUGAUUUACGAAAAGGACUACAAGAGAAGCCACCCAAGCACGACUGAAAAGAAUGACAAUAUUUACUGCUGGUACAGUAGGAGAAAAGACAGGCAGUGGAGGAUGAAUGGCACUUCCCCCUGGCACUUCCCCAGCCUUCCUGUUGGACAAGGAGCAAUGGCCAUCAACUAAAACAAAAGAAGUUCCACCUCAAC